AUUGAACGCUGGCGGCAUGCUUUACACAUGCAAGUCGAACGGUAACAGGCCGCAAGGUGCUGACGAGUGGCGAACGGGUGAGUAAUGCAUCGGAACGUGCCCAGUCGUGGGGGAUAACGCAGCGAAAGCUACGCUAAUACCGCAUACGAUCUGUGGAUGAAAGCGGGGGACCGUAAGGCCUCGCGCGAUUGGAGCGGCCGAUGUCAGAUUAGGUAGUUGGUGAGGUAACGGCUCACCAAGCCGACGAUCUGUAGCUGGUCUGAGAGGACGACCAGCCAAACGGGGACUGAGACACGGCCCAGACUCCUACGCGAGGAAGUAGCGGGGAACUUUUGACAAUGGGCGCAAGCCUGAUCCAGCAAUGCCGCGUGCAGGAUGUAGGCCCUCGGGUUGUAAACUGCUUUUGUACGGAGCGAAACGGCUUCCACUCAUACUGGGGGCUAAUGACGGUACCGUAAGAAUAAGCACCGGCUAACUACGUGCCAGCAGCCGCGGUAA
rnacentral:rRNA from 1 species